UACGGAAGGUGCGGGCGUAUUCGUUUUGAUUGGGUGUAAAGGGUAUGUAGGCGGCUAUUGUUGUUGUUGUGGGCAAAAAAGCGGAGUAUUCCUAUGCUCUGUCCGUUGAACGACACAUAGCUUGAGUUAAAGAUAGGUCGGAAUAAUUUCUUGUGUAGGGGUAGAAUCAUCCAUACAAGAACGAGUGCCAACCGGCGAAGGCAU
rnacentral:rRNA from 1 species